CAGUCGAGCGGCAGCGACAACAUUGACCCUUCGGGGGAUUUGUUGGGCGGCGAGCGGCGGACGGGUGAGUAAUGCCUGGGAACAUGCCUUAGUGUGGGGGAUAACCAUUGGAAACGAUGGCUAAUACCGCAUAAUCUCUACGGAGCAAAGAGGGGGACCUUCGGGCCUCUCGCGCUAAGAUUGGCCCAGGUGGGAUUAGCUAGUAGGUGGGGUAACGGCUCACCUAGGCGACGAUCCCUAGCUGGUCUGAGAGGAUGAUCAGCCACACUGGAACUGAGACACGGUCCAGACUCCUACGGGAGGCAGCAGUGGGGAAUAUUGCACAAUGGGGGAAACCCUGAUGCAGCCAUGCCGCGUGUGUGAAGAAGGCCUUCGGGUUGUAAAGCACUUUCAGCAGUGAGGAAGGCGGUAUCGUUAAUAGCGGUAUUGUUUGACGUUAGCUGCAGAAGAAGCACCGGCUAACUCCGUGCCAGCAGCCGCGGUAAUACGGAGGGUGCGAGCGUUAAUCGGAAUUACUGGGCGUAAAGCGCAUGCAGGCGGCUUGUUAAGCCAGAUGUGAAAGCCCGGGGCUCAACCUCGGAAUCGCAUUUGGAAACUGGCAGGCUAGAGUCUUGUAGAGGGGGGGUAGAAUUUCAGUGUAGCGGUGAAAUGCGUAGAGAUUCUGAAGGAAUACCGGUGGGCGAAGGCGGCCCCUGGACAAAGACUGACGCCUCAGAUGCGAAGGCGUGGGGGGAGCAAACAGGAUUAAGAUACCUUGGGUAGUCCACGCCGUUAACGAUUGUCU
rnacentral:rRNA from 1 species